ACAUGCAAGUCGAGCGGAACCAUUGGAGCUUGCUCCUUUGGUUUAGCGGCGGACGGGUGAGUAACACGUGGGCAACCUGCCCUGCAGAUCGGGAUAACUCCGGGAAACCGGUGCUAAUACCGAAUAGUUUGUUGUCCCUCCUGGGACAGCACGGAAAGACGGUUUCGGCUGUCACUGCAGGAUGGGCCCGCGGCGCAUUAGCUAGUUGGUGGGGUAAUGGCCCACCAAGGCGACGAUGCGUAGCCGACCUGAGAGGGUGAUCGGCCACACUGGGACUGAGACACGGCCCAGACUCCUACGGGAGGCAGCAGUAGGGAAUCUUCCGCAAUGGACGAAAGUCUGACGGAGCAACGCCGCGUGAGUGACGAAGGUUUUCGGAUCGUAAAACUCUGUUGUGAGGGAAGAACAAGUGCCAACUAACUACUGGCACCUUGACGGUACCUCACCAGAAAGCCACGGCUAACUACGUGCCAGCAGCCGCGGUAAUACGUAGGUGGCAAGCGUUGUCCGGAAUUAUUGGGCGUAAAGCGCGCGCAGGCGGUUCUUUAAGUCUGAUGUGAAAGCCCACGGCUCAACCGUGGAGGGUCAUUGGAAACUGGAGAACUUGAGUGCAGAAGAGGAAAGUGGAAUUCCAUGUGUAGCGGUGAAAUGCGUAGAGAUGUGGAGGAACACCAGUGGCGAAGGCGACUUUCUGGUCUGUAACUGACGCUGAGGCGCGAAAGCGUGGGGAGCAAACAGGAUUAGAUACCC
rnacentral:rRNA from 2 species